UACGUAGGGGGCGAGCGUUGUCCGGAAUUAUUGGGCGUAAAGAGCUCGUAGGCGGUUUGUCACGUCGGCCGUGAAAACCUGCAGCUUAACUGUGGGCGUGCGGUCGAUACGGGCAUCACUGGAGUCCGGCAGGGGAGACUGGAAUUCCUGGUGUAGCGGUGAAAUGCGCAGAUAUCAGGAGGAACACCGGUGGCGAAGGCGGGUCUCUGGGACGAUACUGACGCUGAGGAGCGAAAGCGUGGGGAGCAAACAGG
rnacentral:rRNA from 1 species